rnacentral:lncRNA from 1 species
UGGAAAGUGGCAAAGUGACGGAGUUUAUAUAUGUUAUUAUCAAUAAUUUUAUUGUUGUAAACUUCUUUUUAUUUAUGAGUUAUUAUCUACUAUUUGGACUUUAUUAUGGCCAUGAGUUAUUAUUUACUAUUUAGACUUUAUCGUGGCCAUGAUGGAUUUGGACUUUGCAAUGUUGUUGUAAUGGCUUUGCUAGAUUUGAUUAUUGUGAUUUUGGAGAGUGUUUUUUAUUAUUUGAAUGCUUUGCUUUUUUUCAUGAUGGUAUAUUAGUGUAUUACAUGUUUUAUGUUGUUGACAAAUUAUUGUAAUUCUAGUAGACUUUGCCAUAUCUAUGUAUUUAAAAUUUUUGAAUUUGCGAAUUGUGAUUGAUAUUUUUAAUUUUUAUAGUUGUUAUUGUUAUUUAUAUAUAACUUGAUAAUAUUAUCAAUUAAUAUUACAAAUUUUGUGGAUUUAUAUUUA